rnacentral:lncRNA from 1 species
AAAUUGCACAAGAUUCAAUGAUGAAAUCUAUUUUAGAAAUGAUUUUCAUGACAAAAAAAUAUCCUGCUAUUUUAGUUAUCUGCUGGCUGAAUGAUUGGUUCUUUAUAUGUAGAUAGAUCAUGCAUUGUCAACUUUUUGUGAAAUAAUUGCAAUGAAUGAAUUUGAAAACAAGAAAAUUUGAAAACAAGAAAAUUUGAAAACAUAAUUCACCUUUUUUUUUUUUAGAAAUUUUAGUAAAAAUUUAGUAAAAUUAAAAAAAGGACAAUAACUGGUCAUAUGAAUAUACAUUGGGGGAUCAAGAACUUUUUAUAAGGGGGCCAACUGACUGGCUUAUAUAAUCAACCAAAUUUUUCCCGCAAAAGGGCACCCGGAUCUGCCUAUGACUUUCUAUUUAUUAUUUAGUUUAAACAUAUUUUAUUUGCUUAUAUUAUAUAUGCAAAAGGGAUGAGACAUAAGUUAAUCAAACUUAUACAGUCUUUGUUUUGUAGGUAUUUGGUGCAUACAGCAGUGCUUCUCUAUUUGUUUUUACAGACACACAAAGCUUAAACCAAAUUUUCCUAAAUACAUGUUGUAUUCAAGUUAAUUUCAAGUUUAUCCUAGUUGUGUUAGAAAUACAGAGUUUGCAUUAUCAUGGUUGUUUAAGUGGUCUCUAAUGGUAGAGAUACCUCAAGAUGGUAGAUCUUGGUUAAGAGAGAGAACUCUUUAAAUCUUUUUACCAUUUUCAAACAGGAUACAAAUAAUCUGUGUUAUUUGGACUAUUAAAAUAUAUUUAUAAAAAUAGUUGGUACAAACAUACCUGUAAUUUUUAGGAGUUAUAUCCCUUAGUCUGGGUUUACCUCCUUAUAUUGAUUCAAUUUCAUUUCAAAUAUUUUUUGCAAGAAGAUAUUUAUAUAAGAACUGCUUAAAACAACAUGAUGAAUUGCUUUAUAGGUUAAUUUGGUGCAUAUUUCUUAUUUAUUAUGUUAUUUACAGGUACAUGGUGCAUACAUACGUGCUUCUUAAUGUUUUAUCUUGGAUACUGUCUCUUAUUGUUGCUAUAAACUUCACUUGCAUGCUGAAUACUAUUAAUACAUUAGAUUUCUUAUACUUAAUAAGGAUGUAAGAUCCUAAAUUCAAAAUUGUUAGCAUAUCAAUUUUUUUUAUUAAUGACAUACAACUUGGAGUGAAAAUGCCAAAUGAACAUAUUUGGAGGCAUACUAGAAACUACAUAAAACAACAGCAAAUGUUGAUAUUAAAAUGCUGACAUGAUUCUCAUAGAGUUAAAUGAAAUUUUAUUUCAAAGGUUUCAAAUCAACAAUAUCUUUCAUGAAUGAGUUUGAAAAAUCAGCACUGAGUGACUUCUUCUAUUUAUUUUAUGUCCAUGAUAAUCUGUGUGAAAAAUUUGAUAUAGCUAUUGAGAACAUAAUAUCUACUCAAACAAUUUUGUUGCAU